GUUUGUGUGUGUGUGUAACCUAUUCAAUUCCAGAUCUUCCGGCGGUAUGUUUACUAGGUACAGUAGUGGAGGACUGUAUGUUUACUUGGUACAGUAGUGGAGGACUGUAUGUUUACUAGGUACAGUAGUGGAGGACUGUAUGUUUACUAGGUACAGUAGUGGAGGACUGUAUGUUUACUAGGUACAGUAGUAGAGGACUGUAUGUUUACUAGGUACAGUAGUGGAGGACUGUAUGUUUACUAGGUACAGUAGUGGAGGACUGUAUGUUUACUAGGUACAGUAGUAGAGGACUGUAUGUUUACUAGGUACAGUAGUGGAGGACUGUAUGUUUACUAGGUACAGUAGUAGAGGACUGUAUGUUUACAUGGUACAGUAGUGGAGGACUGUAUGUUUACAUGGUACAGUAGUAGAG